GGUAAAUGGGGGAUGGGACGUUUCGGCGCUGCCAAGGAUAGGGGAGACUUUCCAAAAAUUGUUAGAGAUGAGAUUUGGCAACCUGGGGCUAUGGGUAAAACACGGGUAUUCUCGGAUUACUAGCGACUGCCCCAAGCUUGGGGAGAGGAAGUGCCCCCCGAGUGUGGAGCCCUGGCUCCCAGGCCCGCUCUACCCCACCGAGUGUCUGGACGCUCGAGAGUCAAGGGGAAGUGGAAAGAAGACUCUACGAAGACUCACCGUGCACCGGUGGACUUCCCUGCCUCCUCCGUACUCGGCGAUCUGGCGCCGGGCCGGGCGACGCCUGCGGUGUGCGCUGUGCAUUGCGGGCCCUUUGUGUUAGCAACCAGCCCCUGGACUUGGCCCACACACUUUCCCCACACAGAGUUUUUAGACCGCAGAGCUGGGCAAGUUUGCUACGUCUUUGCUGUUCCCUUGCCCCAAUGCAUCUAUAUCUAAUCUAUUUCUGUACACACAUCCAUAUCUACAUCUACACCCAUAUCUAUAUCUAAUCUAUAACUAAUCUAUAUCUACAUCUGUAUCAAUAUCUACAUCCAUAUCUAUAUCUAAUCUAUAACUAAUCUAUACCUACAUCUAUAUCUAUAUCUACAUCCAUAUUUAUAUCUAAUCUAUAUCUACAUCUGUAUCAAUAUCUACAUCCAUAUCUAUAUCUAAUCUAUAUCUACAUCUACAUCUAUAUCUACAUCCAUAUCUAUAUCUGUAUCUGUAUCUAUAUCUACAUCUAUAUCUAUAACUAAUCCAUAUCUAUAUCUAAUCUAUAUCUAUAUCUACAUCUGCAUCUGUAUCUGUAUCUGUAUCUAUAUCCAUCUAUCUAUAUGUAUACCAGUGCUUCUGCAUGGCUGAGAGAUCAGGAGGGACCUGCUGGAGACCAGGGCAUGUCCAAAAGGUAGUCGGGAGAGUGAACGAGGGGACACAGCGCAGGCAGAGUUCGGAGCAUCAGUAGAGAUGAUGACGCACCUAGCGACAGCCGUUGUGGAAGCUGCUACCCCAUAAGACCUGAAUGGAGCUGAGCUGUGUAACAGCGACAGCGACCAGAAUUCAGAGAAACCUAAAGUCUCAGGAGGGGAGGGGGCGGCCCUGGCAGGAGGGGCCUGAAGCUGCACCGUCUGUCCACUAAGUCCUUCAUGGAGGUCAGGCCUCUUUUUUCUUUUUCUUUUCUUUUCUUUUCUUUUCUUUUCUUUUCUUUUCUUUUCUUUUCUUUUCUUUCUUUUUUUUUUCUUUCUUUCUUUCUUUCUUUCUUUCUUUCUUUCUUUCUUUCUUUCUUUUUUUUUUUUUGAGAGAGAGGGAGAGACAGACAGAUACAGUCAGAGAAAACCCCCAUCUGCUGGUUCACUCCCCAGAGGGCCACAACAGCUUGGACUGGGCCAGGCUGAAGCCAGGCGCCCAGAACUCAAUCUGAGUUUCUUUCGUGGGUGGCAAGGACCCAGCUAUUUGGAACAUUGCCUGCUGCCUCCCAGGGUGUGCACUGAGAGGAAGCCAGACUCAGAGCGAGAACUUGAACGCCGGCACACUGAUGUGGAACCCGACCUGAGGUUAGGUGAGCGCCGCACCUGCUGCUCACCUGGGUCUGGUCACUCAGGUCGGCCUGAGCCCGAGUCCAGCACCACGGCCAGUUCCUGCGAGCUCGCUGCUGCCAAGCGAGGUCUGUCCCUGCCGGCACGUGGGCUCCUGGACACACGUUAGCCGAACUCCUGAGCUCCCCGCAUAGAAGAGAUCUGAACUUCUGCCCUGCCCCCCGGCUCACCCUCAUCUCACGUGAAAACUUCCAGAUGAAGAUUUGGCAGGCCCCGUGUCACGCAGGUGGGAUCAGACCUGUGUCACACGUGUGUGAAGACGGUGUGCUCUGUAAGAAAGCGCUACACCCGACAUGUCAGUUAUGAACAGGCAUCUCUCCAGAGAGUCCCACGUGGUCAUCUCUGCCAGGCUUCGGGACAACGUUCUGCGAGGACUAGUGACUGGCUGGUUCUGCAGACCGAGGACAGACAGACUGCAGCUGCUCAGCUGGGCCUGGCUUUUUCAGAUUGGCCUGCAAGCAGCCCAGAGGCUGUGACUGUUCGGCUGUGUCCCGGACGCCACCUCCUCACCUGGCUCCAGCCCCCGUCUCCUCUCGGGCAGAUGCGAAAUCCCCGCUGGUUUGGGGGCCCCAGUUUCCCCACCUGUGGGGGUGGGAUUGCACUUGACCUCAUGCCCCAUCCUGCACUGAGCAGAUUCUCGUGCUGGAGCUGAGUGGGUCCGUGUGUGGGGAGAGCUGGGGAUGUCAUAGCGGGAAGGACAUUGCGGGAUGAGGGAUGUUUGGGGCUCCGGGAUGCUGACAAAGGAACGCCCCCGGAAGGCAGCACUGCCUGACGUCACUGCAUUUCUGAUCUUGCCACCUGCUCAACUGAGGGGUCAGUGGCGAUCAGAGCAGAAACCAUUUGGAGCCACGGGCUUGCUAAAUGCAGGCCAGGCGUCUCUCUCGCCCACUCCGUCAGCGCUUCCCCCUCUUUGCCUCCCAGCUACCCUCAAGGGCAGGAAUUCUCGUCUAUGAAGCGGCCUGGGCUCCCCGCGCUGUCUCCAUGUGAGCAAGUGCAAUGAGCAGUGGUUACCCCCCGGGCUGGGCCUUGAAGCUGUCCCCACGGACGCGCCCCUGGCUUUGGACCCUGGAGUCAGCUUGUUCGGGGUCAAGGUCUGUUUGGAUGUGCUGCGUUCAGAAUGAGCCGGGCUGUGCCUCGUUUCUGCUCAGUUUUCCCCCAGAGAAAGCCGGCGCUUUUACCUGGAGGAGUGUUCCAUUGACAGCUGCUGUCACGAGCUGGCCACGCGCCGCACACGGCGAGGGGAGAACCGGGAGAUCUGAAGGUGCUGUACUCUGGUCUGUGGGGCGGCCCCGGCGCGGGGGAGGAGGACGGGCACGCGGCCUCUCCCCGUGGCCUCUGACAGCCGCCUGCUGCUCUGCGCUGCUCUCCAAAUAAA